ACACCUUGAGGUCAGUGUCGUCAGUGAUUGUCGUCACAAACCGAGUGUAUAAACAUCAAUCGCAAAUGGCGAUAGUGAGGUCGUGAGAAUUGUCAAAGUCUAGAGAAAAUUAAGGAUUCUAUAGAAAUGACGACCUUGACGGACCCCUCCGCCUUGCCGAAGACUAAAAAACCAUCCGAUAGUGCAUUCAAACAGCAACGGCUUCCUGCCUGGCAACCAAUUCUUACAGCUGGAACAGUUCUUCCAACGUUUUUCGUAAUAGGAAUAGCUUUCAUACCAGUUGGCAUAGGAUUACUUUACUUUUCGGAGGAGGUCAGGGAACAUUCCAUCGAUUACACAAAUUGCAUUUCCAAUAGUUCAGCUUCUGGUAACGAAACGAAAUGCGCCGACAUCAUUGCUUUGAAUUCGUCAGCUGUGUGCUAUUGUGAAAUUAACUUCACAUUGACAAACGAAUUUGGUGGCAACGUUUAUAUGUACUAUGGCUUGACCAAUUUUUAUCAGAAUCAUAGACGAUACGUUAAAUCUCGUGACGAUAACCAGCUUUUGGGCCAGUUGAAUAUGGCACCAUCCAGUGACUGUAAACCUUUUGCUUAUUCUUACGUAAAUGACUCUGAAAUGCCUAUAGCCCCUUGUGGAGCAAUAGCAAAUUCGUUGUUCAGCGAUGAGUUGACUCUUUGGUCCCAUGUGCACCAGAAUUUUGUUCCAUUAUUGAAUUAUGGCAUAGCUUGGCCUUCUGAUAAAUCCAUCAAGUUCGCAAAUCCUAAAGGUUAUGCUACUUUGGAAGAGGCUUUCAGCGGUUAUGCAAAACCAAAAAAUUGGUCCAAAGCAAUUUAUGAAUUGGAUACAAAAAAUGUUAGCAACAACGGAUUCCAAAACGAAGACCUAAUUGUCUGGAUGAGAACAGCAGCCCUUCCUAGUUUCAGGAAACUGUAUCGAAGAAUUGAUCACUCUCAAGAUAGUUUCAAGGGAGGAUUGGUUAAGGGAAAUUACAGCCUCAUUGUGAAAUAUUCAUAUCCUGUAGCAGCAUUUGAAGGUACCAAACGGAUGAUAUUAAGUACUACCUCACUGUUAGGGGGUAAAAACCCUUUCCUUGGCAUUGCCUAUAUUGUAGUAGGCUGUGUCUGUUUGAUACUGGGAAUUGCCUUGUUGAUUAUCCAUAUCAAAUGCUCUAAGAGCAAACUAAUGUAAGAGCGGCUCCCAGAAUCACGGUUAGGGCUUCCUAAUUAUUGUUGUAAGUGUUUGUUGUCUUAAGUCUCCCAAGUUUCUUCAAGAAAUACUUUACAACUGAGGCCCAUGAGUUUAAAGAUUGCUUUAUUACACACCCAACACAAGCAAAAUUUUUUUUACACAUAAUACUAGUCUAGUACAAACCAGAUGAUCAACGUUAGCCAGAACACACCGUACCAAUGAGGCACUCGUCACAUGUUGGUCGUUAGUGUCAAUUGAAUUUACCAAUUUCAGCAUUUAUAUAAUCGUUAGUCAAAUAUUUAUCACUGUUAGACUGUAGAAAGGUAUUUCUGAUUAAAACGUAAGAUUAGUCAGUUAUACUGGAAAAACAGUGUUUUCUUUGCCUAUGAUAUUUAUUCAUACAAUAUUAAAUGUCAUCUAAAUUAAAUAUUUUUAGAUUAGCUUGAAAUCACUUAAGUAUUAAACAAUAUCUUAAAAAUUCAAAGAUA